GGAUCUGAGGCCGCACAUCUCUGUUUGUCUUCUUCACGGGCGCGCACGGGCAGGAGGACGGCGGUCUGGCGCCCCUCCGGGUAGAGCAGCGAUUCAUCCACCCAACGGGACAGGCCAUAGCCGACGGGGGCACGACGGCGGGCGAGGGAGAAGAUAUGGUCGCCGGAGGGGCGCCCGAGGUUCCUGCGCUCCUCCUUCUCAUCCCGUCGAUGGGGAUGCUCCAGGUUCGUCGGUCGCUCUCCUCCCGAUGACGGCAACGGCGAGGUCGCCGCCCUUCAUGGCUGUGAGAGGCUAGCACAAGGGAGGGCAAACCGUGAUCCUGUGUGGAGGAAGAGGGAGGUGGAGAGGAGCGGCGGCUGCUCGUGCCAAGGAGAAGGAGGAGCGGCGGCUGCUCGUGCGCGAGAGAUGCGAGGGGGAGAGAGAGAGAUCCCAAUAUUGCCCUCGGCGGGGCAGGGGAAUUUCGGCGGGACGACAGAAAACCUAGGCGUCUCGCCGAUUGGGGACGAGGCCACGAAUCGGUAGAAGCCACGAGGUGCGAGGCUAUGCGAAAUCCCAAUAUUGCCCUCGGCGGGGCAGGGGAAUUUCGGCGGUGGCACUGAGAUCUUUUACCGCUUGAUGCGCCAACGGGCCGCACGGGACAGGUCAUAGCCACAGAGAAUGACAUGCGGGGUUCACACAGCGGGCUGGCCCACAAGUCGGCGAGACCCAGUCGGGAACCAGGGAGUGAGCGGCAGCACGUGGAGGCAGUAACUAUUCAUUCCAGCAGUGCUGAUCCCAGAUCCAACGGCCCAGCUUUCUCCAGAUGUCGAUCCAACGGACGAAAACGCAUCAAGAGAAUUGAUCCAACGGCCCAGAAUCGCUGAUCUCUGAGGAGGCUCUGUGAGGCCUUCUUCUCUUAUUUCUGGAUGCCGAUCGCCGACCGCAUCUUCUCCCCGAGGUUCACUGCGCACUCAACAGGGAAAAAAAGAAGCAGGAGAAACCACCGGUCGAUGAAAACACGGCGCAUACCGUCUCACCCCACCAGCAGGGGAAAGCAAUUCGUCGGAGUAGCAUGCAUCCCAGACUGGUGGCCGAAUCAGUCAAGGGAAGCAACCCAAAGGGGUGACCUGGGAAAACAGCUGCGAUCCAAAUACGAGUCAAAAAAGGAAUCCGCACUUGUUUUCUCAGUGUCACUCCUCCGGAUCCAGCUUCUCUUUGCUAGCUCGUCAAGCAAUAGAUCCAGCUUCUCUUUGCUAGCUCGUCAAGCAAUCAAUCGACGCAUACAGAGGAGGGAUAUGCACUGCCCUGCCGCAGAGCUGCAGGCACGGGGGAGAUGUGGUGGCG
rnacentral:rRNA from 1 species